rnacentral:rRNA from 1 species
UACGGAGGGGGCAAGCGUUGUUCGGAAUUACUGGGCGUAAAGGGCGCGUAGGCGGCCUUCUAAGUCGAACGUGAAAUCCCCGGGCUCAACCCGGGAACUGCGUCCGAUACUGGAAGGCUUGAAUCCGGGAGAGGGAUGCGGAAUUCCAGGUGUAGCGGUGAAAUGCGUAGAUAUCUGGAGGAACACCGGUGGCGAAGGCGGCAUCCUGGACCGGUAUUGACGCUGAGGCGCGAAAGCUAGGGGAGCAAACGGG